GGAAUACCACCAGUGAACUUUAUCCUCAUGAUCCGCGGUCACAGCAAAGUUCGGCGACUUGCUACAGUUUCCUCCCUGGACCAACCAGAAGCUGUCCUUGCUACCGAGUGGGCUUGGUACUGGGAAGAAAAGGAUGAAUGCUGGAACGCAUUUUGGUCAUCAACUGUGGAGGAACUAGAGAGGGUGUACAGUGAUCCCUCUCUUGGCUCAGUGUAUGAGUUCACUGCUGGACGACACACCUAUGAAGUCAAUUUGGAAGACAUGAUCCAGAGUAACAAGAGCUCACACACCCAAAGACUGGUAAGAAGACGUCCGAUCUUCAAAUCUCCCAUAGAU